UUAAGACUUGUUAUCUCACACCACAGAUGCAGCAGUUCUGAUUCUGAAUGAAGAUGCUUCCCGAGGAAGAUUUCUACUCCAUUCUUGGUGACCAGAGAUCACAGGAUUUAUUCAGGCUGUUUCAUAUUCACUUGGUGAGUUCUGCUGGCUGCUGCUAUCGCUGCUGCCAGACUGUCGUCGUCGUCUCCUGCCUUUUAUCAGGACGCUCCGAUACACCUGCAGGGAAAAAGAGGCAUAAGACGGGAACUAUGAGUAAAUGUGCGGUUACAUAGUCAGCAAACAAUAGUAUGCACGAUAGAGCUGCUCUUUAGAAAACUUCUCUGUGGUAUAAGAUUGUUUCCUACAGGGGAAAAUACAGCCUCCUAAGAUGAUGAUUAUCCACAAGGCACUGGUGCUGUAGCUUGUAAGUGAACAUAUUUUCAAGUAUAAAUGUAAUUUAGCAUAAAAAGCUUUUGGUAGCGCACAAUUUUAACUCUGUCUUUAAGGAGAGUGCUCACAGACUGCUUAUAUUUAAUAUUAAAUCUUAUUUUGAAAAUCUCUACAUUCCUAAAGGCAUGUAAUUAACCAGAAGCCACAUCAUUUAAUAUUAACUGUACUUACAUGACUCUUAGCUUGUGGUUGUGUCCGAUAGCAGCGCAUAAUGUUCUGAAAUGAUCUGUCUUCCUUAGUAACCUAAGGAUAGACAAAUAGAAAAGAUUAAAAUUGUGUUGUUUUCUUUCCCUAUGAUUUGUUUAGGGGUGGUUGGUUUUUGGGUAGGUUGAGGAAUUUGUAGUCACAGCAUAUUAAGCCUUAAAAAAGCAGGUGUUUUUAUUCACCUUACCUUAGACAUUACAUAGAUGGCACACAUGAGCAGCUGAUCCAAGUGUCUGUCCAUCAUGAUUUCAGGGCAGUGCACCAAGGAAUACUCAAAACAAGUCCAGAUCUUUUUCCGCAGCUCAUCAGAUAUAUCGAGUUUGACACAGAGAUCCCGUAGACGAACACUAGCUAAAUGAUACACCUGUUGAAAUUGAGACUCUGCUUAGGAGCACAUCAAUACUGCUUUUCUCACCCAAGAUAAAGCACAAUUCAGACUUGUACAGCCUGUAGAACUUGUGCAAAUGUUAAGUCGAAAGAAGAAUAAAUUUAACUUUUGUGUUUAUUGGUAUUGAUGCUAAGAAAGCAUUUGUUUGAAGCUUAAAUUCUGGAAUUAUUUGGAGCGCAGGAACAGCACCACGUAACUGCUGUAUUGAAUAAGAACAUCUCAAAGGUGAAUUUAUUUCUUUUAAAGAGCCUUAAAGAAAAUGGACACCUUUAAGCGACUGCUGGCCACGUCUGUAAUCUACUCCACAACAAGAGCAGUCUUAAUCUACGCCCUUGCCAGUGCGAAAUGGUCUGCAUAAGAAAACUACUCUUAAGUAAAUAUUUUUAAAUCAUAGAGAACCUGCCACAAUACAAACUAAACAAAGCACAAAUCAGACUGAAAAGUACCUUUCUAAAGAAGAGUGAAAGUGAGCCCAUCUUCCGGGGCCUGGC